rnacentral:rRNA from 1 species
UACGUAGGCAGCGAGCGUUGUUCGGAAUUACUGGGCGUAAAGAGUGUGUAGGCGGUGUUCCCGGUCUGUUGUGAAAUCUCCCGGCUUAACUGGGAGGGUGCAGCGGAAACUAGAAUGCUAGAGGGUGGGAGAGGUAAGCGGAAUUCCUGGUGUAGCGGUGAAAUGCGUAGAUAUCAGGAGGAACACCUGCGGUGUAGACGGCUUACUGGACCAUAACUGACGCUGAGGCACGAAAGCGUGGGUAGCAAACAGG